UGGCGGACGGGUGAGUAAUGUCUGGGAAACUGCCUGAUGGAGGGGGAUAACUACUGGAAACGGUAGCUAAUACCGCAUAACGUCGCAAGACCAAAGAGGGGGACCUUCGGGCCUCUUGCCACCGGAUGUGCCCAGAUGGGAUUAGCUAGUAGGUGGGGUAAAGGCUCACCUAGGCGACGAUCCCUAGCUGGUCUGAGAGGAUGACCAGCCACACUGGAACUGAGACACGGUCCAGACUCCUACGGGAGGCAGCAUG
rnacentral:rRNA from 1 species